GCAAGGUUGUAUGAAUUAGAACAAGUAGUGAUGAUGUGCUACUUCUUUCUUCUCUUUCUUUUCCUCUCUAAUAUUUCACUUACUGUGAAUUUCCAACAACAUCAUCAUCAUGUAGUGUGUGAUCCUAAUCAAAGCUUGGCAUUACUUCAAUUCAAGAAUGUUUUUUCCUUGGAUACACCAAGUUCUUGGAGUGAGUACUCGUAUCCACGAACUUCCACAUGGAAUGAGACCACAGAUUGCUGUUCAUGGGAUUGUGUGGAGUGUGAUGACAAAGGAGAAGGCCAUGUUGUUGGUCUUCAUCUUGGCUGCAGUUUUCUCAAUGGAACUCUUCAUCCCAACGACACCCUUUUCACCCUCUCCCACCUCCAAACCUUGAAUCUCUCUUACAAUGAUUUUUCAGAAUCUUCAGUUUCACCUCAAUUUGGAACGCUUACGAACUUGAGGAUUUUGGAUCUUUCCGGGUCUCACUUUAAAGGGGAGGUUCCCUUGCAAAUAUCCCACUUGUCUAAAUUGGUUUCCCUUCGUCUUUCUCAUGGUUAUAUUCUCAGUUUUUCAAAUGUGGUUAUGAGUCAACUUGUUCCUAACCUAACCAAUCCAAGGGAUCUUCGACUUACUGAAGUAAAUCUUUAUGACCUCAGUCCCACUCAUUCCUCAACUUCUCUCUCUCUUUACACUCUCUUGAUUUUUCUUCAUGUGACUUGUCCAGGAAUUUUCCAGACCAAAUUUUCAGUCUUCCAAAUUUACAUGUGUUAAUACUUGAAGAUAACUUAUAUGGGUUGAAUGGACAUCUACCCAUUUCUAAUUGGAGUAAAUCCCUUCAAAUUUUGGAUCUUUCAUCAACUAAAUUUUCAGGAGGGAUUCCCACCUCCAUUGGUGAAGCCAAGGCAUUGAGGUACUUAGACCUUAGUUAUUGUAAGUUUAAUGGUGAAAUUCCUAAUUUCGAAAGUCAUUAUAAUCCUAUGAUCAUGGGUCAAUUAGUCCCCAACUGUGUCCUGAAUCUCACCCAAACACCUUCUUCAUCUGCAUCAUUUUCAAGUCCUCUUCUUCCUCGAAAUUUUUGUUCAAUAGGACUUUCAAAUCUUAUUCAUUUGGACUUGACACGUAACUCAUUCACGGGUGUUAUACUCUCUUGGCUAUAUUCCUUGCCUAACUUAAAAUAUUUGGAUCUCUCUAAAAACCAAUUCUUUGGUUUUACGAGGGAUUUUAAAUCCAACUCAUUAGAGCUUCUCGAUUUAAGUAAUAAUAAUUUGGAAGGUGAAAUUUCAAAGUCUAUUUAAUAGGCAACUCAAUCUUACAUAUUUAGGACUGGAGUCCAAUAAUUUGAGUGGGGUUUUGAAUUUCGACAUGCUGUCAAGAGUCCCAAGUCUAUCAUGGCUUUACAUUUCCAAUAAUAUACCCAACUUUCAAUUUUCUCAACUACAGUUACUCCUGCAUAUCUUCUUGACAUAGGAAUAGGUUCCAUCAAAUUAGAAAAAAUCCCUUACUUCUUGAGAAAUCAAAACAACUUGCAGUACCUAAACCUUUCAAAUAAUUAAAUUGUAGGAAAGGUUCCUGAAUGGUUUUCUGAAUUGGGUGGUUUGAUUCAACUAGAUCUGUCUCAUAAUUUUUUGUCCUUAGGAAUAGAGCUGCUACUUGCUUUGCCUAAUCUGAAGAGAGUCUCUCUUGAUUUUUAACUUGUUUAAAUGCUACCCGUUCCAAUGUUGUGCUACCAUCAUUUAUGGAAGAACUUAGUGUUUCAAAUAAUAAGGUUAGUGGAAAUAUCCAUCCUUCAAUCUUCCAAGCCAACAAACUUACCUGAAUUUGUCCAAUAAUAGCUUGAGUGGUGCAGUUCCAUCUUGCCUCUCCAACAUGACUAAUUUACGAGUUCUUAUAUUGAAAAUGAACAAAUUUUCUGGGGUUAUGUCCAUACCACCAACUAUUGGAUAAUAUAUUGCAUCAGAAAAUCAGUUCAUUGGAGAAAUCCCUCUUUCAAUUGCCUUUCACUUGACCUCGUCGUACUCAGUCUGCCAAAUAAUCACAUGAAUGGAACAAUUCCAUCAUGUCUCACAAACGUCCUCACUUCUCUUUCAGUAUUGAAUUUAAAAAAUAACAAUUUUAGUGGUACAAUUCCAACAUUUCCUUCAACCGGAUGUCAAUUGAGCAGCCUUGAUUUGAAUGACAACAAAAUAGAAGGAGAAUUGCCAGAGUCAUUGUUGAACUGCGAAUAUCUUGAAGUUUUGGAUAUUGGGAAUAACAACAUAACAGGUUAUGUAAUUCUCACUUAAACCCAUAACCAUAAAUAUAUUCAUGCCUCACUUAUAUUUCAUCUCUUUUAUUUAUUAUUUCAAUUAUUUAUUAAUUAAGUAUUACACCCAGCUUUGACUAUAUAGCUUUUCUCUCUUAUAUAAUUUAAAUGGAGAUAUCGAUAACAAUAAAUCCGAAAUUUUAUUCCUAUUCUAUUCUGACAGGCUAAUUUUCAUAUUGGUUAAAAACUGCUUCAAGUUUGCGAGUUCUCAUCCUUCCAUCCAAUCAAUUUUAUGUUCUUAUCAACAAUUCUUUCAAUAAAGAUUCUUUCUCAAACCUACAAAUUAUUGAUCUUUCUCACAACUAUUUCAGAGCCAUCAAGGAAGGGGAAAUCCAACCCAACUCUUUUCUUAAAAAUAUGUACUACUAUCAAGAUUCAAUUGUGAUAUCAUUCAAAGGGUUAGAACAAAAAUUGGAAAGAAACAUUUUGAUUUUUAAAACUAUUGAUCUGUCAAGUAAUUAUAAUGGUUUUAAUGGAGAGAUACCAAAGGAAAUUGGAAGUUGAGGUCUCUAGUAGGUUUGAACCUUUCACUCAAUGAGCUUACAGGUGGAAUUCCUACAUCACUUGGCAAUUUGAACAAUUUGGAAUGGUUGGAUCUUUUUUUCAAAUCAAUUGAGUGGUAACAUUCCUCCUCAGUUGGUUGGUCUUACAUCUCAGUCCUAUCUCUCACAAAAUCAUCUUUUAGGACCAAUUCCUAAAGGCAAACAAUUUGAUACUUUUGAGAAUUCUUCCUACUUUGAUAAUCUUGGACUUUGUGGGAAUCCUCUACCAAAAUGUGAUGUGGAUCUAAAUGACCAUAUAAAUCUCAACUGCUACAUGAAGUUGAAGAAGACAGUUUGGAAAAAGGAAUUUGGGUGAAAGCUGUGUUCAUGGGAUAUGUAUGUGGGAUUGUAUUUGGAAUAUUUAUUGGAUAUCCUGUUUUUCAUUAUGGGAAACCUGUGUGGAUUGUGGCAAUUGUGGAAGCCAAAAGAGCUCAAAAGAUCCAAACAUCUAGGAGAGGAGUUACAGGCCUAGGAUAAGAAAUAACUAGGAGGGGUCUGAUUGUGGCUGAGAAAAGUUCAAAUCCGUAAUCCAAUUGACUGUUUAUGAAGACAACUCAUUACAAUGGUUACUACGUGGAGUACAAAAGCCAAUCUAAUACACAGCAGAUACAACACCUUCUCGUGUUUUGGGUUCGCAGCUAUCUUGUUUGUACAAUAUUCACUUUUUUUUUAGCAUAAUUAUCUCCAGCUCAAUGACUCCUUUGUAAACGUUCCUUGGUACUGUAUGAUACUUUUGGCUUAGGUAGGGAGUGACGAGGGUGAUAAAAGUAUCUAUGUUUACUUAGCUGAGAUAUUCGAAUGCAGCUUGUCAUCGUUAUAUUUCUCUUAUUUGUUACUUUUCAAAAAAUAAAAUUCUCAAAAUAUCAAAA